rnacentral:rRNA from 1 species
UACGAAGGGGGCUAGCGUUGCUCGGAAUCACUGGGCGUAAAGGGUGCGUAGGCGGGUCUUUAAGUCAGGGGUGAAAUCCGUGGAGCUCAACUCCAGAACUGCCUUUGAUACUGAGGAUCUUGAGUACGGGAGAGGUGAGUGGAACUGCGAGUGUAGAGGUGAAAUUCGUAGAUAUUCGCAAGAACACCAGUGGCGAAGGCGGCUCACUGGCCCGUAACUGACGCUGAGGCACGAAAGCGUGGGGAGCGAACAGG